rnacentral:misc_RNA from 1 species
UUUCCGUAGGUGAACCUGCGGAAGGAUCAUUACCGAAUUGUCAAACGGGUUGUUGCUGGUCUUCAAACGGGGACAUGUGCACGCUCUGUUUACACAUCCACUCACACCUGUGCACCCUCCGUAGUUCUAUGGUCUGGGGGACCCUGUCUUCCUGCCGUGGUUCUACGUCUUUACACACACUCUGUAAUAAAGUCUUAUGGAAUGUAUGCCGCGUCUAACGCAAUACAAUACAACUUUCAGCAACGGAUCUCUUGGCUCUC